rnacentral:lncRNA from 1 species
UAUAUGUAGCAGCCCCGGAUCCGGGUCCCGAAUCGCCGCGGAUCCGGUUCGCUAUUUCUACAACUGUUUGCGGAAGAUAUAAACAUAAAUUGUUUAUACAUUACAUUACACACUAUUCCCCAAGGUCGAGUAACCUUUACUUAAACACAAAUCAUAAGCUAUCUAACGCAUAACAAUACUAUUCUUCAACCAUACUUUUACAAAUUAGCUGUACAUUCUAUCCCAAGCUGAACUUGGCAUCAUCCUUUUCCUGUAACUGGCCGUAUUCGCCUUAUCUGCAAUGUUUUAUCAUGAUAUAGCAAGGGUGAGCAUGAAAGUUGCCCAGCAAGUUUAAAAAAAAACAAGGUAAAGAUAUAUCAUGAUUGAAAGAGUUUGAAUAAUAAGCUGGCUAUCCUUCACAAUGUAGUUGUGAAUUAGCAUGAACAAAAUUUCAAAGCUGAAUGAACAUUGAAAAUGAACAUAACAAUUAUAUCUGAACUGACUGGUAAUGAAGGUGAUCAGCCUUUCAUACCUGAUGAAUACAUGCAAUAUGUACAGAGUACAAUUCAUAAGCAUAUCUGUCUGAAACCACUCUUAAAAGAGUUUAAGUAAAAAGAACUUGAAAAACUUGCCUGAACCGUUGAUUACCGUAACGCAAUAUAAUACGCUUCUCCUGAAGACCUAAUAUUAAUAAUAUAGAUCUCCAAUAUUAGAAUAAUAUCAUCACCGUUAUAAAAUAACUUAAACACAUAAUCCUAUCAGUCUAUACAGCAUAUAAAACCUAUAAUAGAUCUUUCGGUUAGUCAUAACAUAUAGUUAAGUAUUAGACAUUAGUUUUAAGUCUUAAUAUUAUUAUUAUACUUUGAUAUUCUUUUAAUCACAUCAUAACUUAUACUUAUAAGUUAUUCAUUUUUAUAUGUUAUCCUAGUAAAUUAGAUAACAUCUUAGUAAACCGAAAUACCAUUUCAGUAAGACGGAUUUUAUUUCAGUAUCCCGAAAUCACUAUUCUUUUUCACGAAAAAUACCAAAUCAACUUAUUAUUUUUUUAUCCUUUGGUCAAACAUAUAUACAUGUAUUUCAUACAUAAAAAAUAUUUUUCCGUAAUUUUUCAAUUUCUUUUACUAUUUUUCAAAAAUCAUAAUUAGUGCGUGACUUAAGAAAAUUAGCUACCUCGUGCUUAACUCCAGAGAUGCCCAUCUUUUGACAUAACCUUAUAUAUGUUAACGUGAUGCUCCAUUUUAAAUUUCGUGGCAAUCGGAGUUGUAGAACUCCGGUUAUAGCGAUUUCCGUCGGAAAAUCACAAAAAUUGAAAUGGUCAUAACUUGGUCGUUUUAAGCCGGAAUUAGCUCAUUUUUGGACACGAGCUACAUAUUACCAUAUAUUUUCAUUUCCCAAAAGCCUGUAAUUUUUCUCAUUAACUAAAUGUCCAAAACAGCCCUCGGAAAAUUUUGGCCAGAAACUUUUUGCACUUUGGCAGUUUUGGAGUCCUUCACCAAAACUUAAAUAAAACGAAAUCUGUAACUCCGAUUAAUGAUCCGUCAAUUUUGUUGGAUUCGUAUCUUUCCGAACUACAGUUUUCAUAUAUCACAAUCCAUAUUUGGAUAUGUUUAGCUCCCGGAAUUUAGCCCGGAAGUGACUGUUCCAAAACUGUCCUUUUCACAGUUUUCUUAACUUUGUGUAGUUUGGGAGAAAUCCCAUAACUCCCUCCUCCGAUGUCGGAUUUAGUCCGUUUUGGAGUCUAUGGAAAGCUUAUUGAGUGUACUAUAACAUAUCACAAGUCCAGAAUUUUUAGAGCACUCUAACAAAUCCGAAAUUUUCUGUUUUAGGGCAGCAGUCCACUAACUCAUUUAAAACAAAAAAAACUGUUUUGGUUAUUCUUCUUUGUUCAAGCCUAUCAACCCUAAAAAUGGCAAGAUCUAACCAUAAAAUAUCAUUUAUCAUGUAGAUCUAUAGUUCUCAUGUUCAAGAUCUUAAACUUAUGGUUCAAAAUCAUAAGUUCAACACUUGAUCUAAAACACCAUAUCAAAACACUUUAACUAACAAGAGUUUUGAGUUUAGGAAAUUUUUACCUUUAGCUUCAUGACAUAUCUUUUUC